UACGUAGGGGGCAAGCGUUGUCCGGAUUAUUGGGCGUAAAGAGCGUGUAGGCGGCUUGGUAGGUCUCGCGUCAAAACCUGAGGCUCAACCUCAGUUCGCGUGGGAAACCACCUAGCUAGAGUCCGGAAGAGGAGAACGGAAUUCCCAGUGUAGCGGUGAAAUGCGCAGAUAUUGGGAAGAACACCAGUGGCGAAGGCGGUUCUCUGGGGCGGUACUGACGCUGAGACGCGAAAGCGUGGGGAGCGAACAGG
rnacentral:rRNA from 1 species